rnacentral:rRNA from 1 species
AGUGAACGCUGGCGGUAGGCCUAACACAUGCAAGUCGAACGGCAGCACAGUAAGAGCUUGCUCUUACGGGUGGCGAGUGGCGGACGGGUGAGGAAUACAUCGGAAUCUACUUUUUCGUGGGGGAUAACGUAGGGAAACUUACGCUAAUACCGCAUACGACCUACGGGUGAAAGCAGGGGAUCUUCGGACCUUGCGCGAUUGAAUGAGUCGAUGUCGGAUUAGCUAGUUGGGGGGGUAAAGGCCCACCAAGGCGACGAUCCGUAGCUGGUCUGAGAGGAUGAUCAGCCACACUGGAACUGAGACACGGUCCAGACUCCUACGGGAGGCAGCAGUGGGGAAUAUUGGCCAAGGGGCGCAAGCCUGAUCCAGCCAUACCGCGUGGGUGAAGAAGGCCUUCGGGUUGUAAAGCCCUUUUGUUGGGAAAGAAAAGCAGCAGGUUAAUACCCCGCUGUUCUGACGGUACCCAAAGAAUAAGCACCGGCUAACUUCGUG